AGGAAUGUCACUAAGGUGCAAGUCACAUGACCAGCAUCUGAGUUGACAGCACAUGAUGAGGGCCACAGGAGCUGACGUGGAGUCGAUUAUCAGUGACUGGCGAUUUGUCCAGUGUGCUCAUCGACUUUUAAGUGACAUUUUGCCCUGAAUGUGCCCACCUGCCCACCCUGCUGACUGACAUUUCCAUUUCAUUAAUCCUGAGCUCUAAAAGCCCCCAAGGUCAGCAGGAGACGACCUCAACCAACACAAACAUCAGACGACAGGACAACAUGGCUGUCAGCCUGUAGAGUUUGAACGACUGCCAGUGUGCAGCAGUGACGAGGACCUAAGUGACCAGACAGACCAGUGGCUUUAUGAGGUCACACAGCGGGGACUGAAGCAAUGGCCGAGGUGACAGGAGAGAGAAGAGGGCAGCAGGGCUUAGGUCAGCAGUGAAGAGCUCAUCGGGUGACAACCUGUCUGAUGAGCGAGUGCUUAAAGAAUCAGACGUCAGUCACACAUCGAGAUACGGAUUUGAUCAACGAGGAAUACAAUCUGUGAUCA